rnacentral:lncRNA from 1 species
GUGUCCUGAGAGACUGGCGAGGACAGCGCCCUGGGGACUGCGGCUCUGAUGUCCUGGCCUCCCUGGCUCCACCCCCUGCGGAAUCUCGUCUCUGGCCCCAGCUUUGGUUCCUGGCCUGGAAACCUGCCUGCUGUCCUCAGAGAUUUCAGCCUGUCUUGCGUUCCUUUGCCAUCUGCAGCCCCCUGCAGAGGAAGUAGGACAAUGAGCCUGUUUUCCCAGCACGGCAGCGGCAGGCGCGGUGCGGACUUUGUUUUCCAGCCCUGCUGCGCCCCACUCUGCUCCUCCUGGCCAAGGUCCGGGCAGGUCGGCCGCCCUCGCCCCUGCUUUUGCCUCUGCUCUGGCAGCUUCUCUGGCCAAGCUGAAGGUCCCUGCACCUUCACACCUUCCCUGAUCUCAGCGUCUGGGGCGGGCUGUCUUCAGGCGUGUGUCCCCAGGCUGUCCCCAAAAUGUUCCCAGCUUGAGGUUUGUGUGGAGGGGGCGGGCUCAGUCCCCAGGGCAGCAGGACACCAGCGGACGGGGGACACAGAGGGAGGCCUCAGGGCCCGGGGCGGUGCCUGCUCAGUGAGACGCAGAGUUGGAGCCCAGAGGGCCCUGAGCUUUAGCACCGCCCUAAGGUGGGGCCUCCCCCGCCCAUGGGAGGGUGCCCGCUCCUCCCGGUGCCCAGCUGUGGCUGCCCGGUCUGUGCCCUCUGUGUGUCCCCUGCCCCCGGACUGCCGGAGCUCAGAAGUGAGAAGAGUGAAGAUGUGUUGUGUCCAUGUGCCACCUCCCUGUGAGGACCGUGAUCAUGACAUGCGGCAGACACCUGCUAAUGAGAAUAAAAAUUAA